rnacentral:rRNA from 1 species
UUAUAAGAGACAGCAGCCGCCGCGGUAAUACGUAGGGCGCAAGCGUUAUCCGGAAUUAUUGGGCGUAAAGAGCUCGUAGGCGGUUUGUCGCGUCUGCCGUGAAAGUCCGGGGCUCAACCCCGGAUCUGCGGUGGGUACGGGCAGACUAGAGUGAUGUAGGGGAGACUGGAAUUCCUGGUGUAGCGGUGAAAUGCGCAGAUAUCAGGAGGAACACCGAUGGCGAAGGCAGGUCUCUGGGCAUUAACUGACGCUGAGGAGCGAAAGCAUGGGGAGCGAACAGGAUUAGAUACCCCCGUAGUCCCUGUCUCUUAUAC